rnacentral:rRNA from 1 species
AUGAACGAUAAUGCUAGCCCCGGACUAGACGGUUUUGGGCCAGCUUUCUACAAGGCCAAUUGGGACCUAGUUAAAAACGACCUUCUAUCCCUUCUCAACAGUUUCUACUCUUGCUCUGCAGAUCUUAGGCGUAUCAACAAAGCUUACAUUGUCCUCAUCCCCAAAAAACCUGGCACAACUGACCCUGACCAGAUGCGUCCGAUUUCCCUUCAAAACUGCUCGGUCAAACUUUGCUCCAAGUGCCUUUCUAUUAGAGUUCAGCCGGUUAUUCGUGAUCUUGUCCAUGCGGAUCAAUCCGGCUUUAUCAAAGGAAGGUGUAUCUCGAAAAACUUCAUUCUCACAGCUGAUAUUGUGCAAGCUUGCCACAAAAGAAAAUGCCCGGCCUUAGUCUUAAAAUUGGAUUUUUGGAAAGCCGUUGACUCUGUCUCUUGGGAGAGUCUUUAUCGUAUCCUUAAAGCCAAAGGCUUUUCAGAAACUUGGAUUCGUUGGAUUAUGAUGCUAAACGACUCUGGCCAAUCGGCUAUUCUUCUUGACGGCGCUCCCGGGCAUUGGAUUCAAUGUAAAAAUGGCCUCAGACAAGGCAACCCCAUUUCACCUUACCUCUUCAUCAUUAUUGCCGAUAUCCUCCAACGCAUGAUCCUGGAGGCCUCAGCUCAGGGGCUGCUGCAGCACCCAAUUGUUCCCAACUUGCCAUGCCCGGUUCUUCAAUACGCGGAUGACACUCUAAUUAUCAUAAAGGCAGACAAAGAUAACCUUGCCUCCCUAAAAUCUAUCCUGCUCAACUUCUCCCUCGCCACGGGUCUCCACAUUAAUUUUGCUAAAAGCACUUUUGCUCCAAUCCAUGUAGACCCUUCUGUGGCCGCUCGUAUGGCAAGUACGUUGGGUUGCUCGGUUGCUACUUUUCCGCAGAACUAUCUUGGUCUCCCUUUGUUUACCCACAAACUUCGUCUAAUAGGUUUCCACCCGUUAAUUGCUAAGGUUGACAAGAGGUUAGCUGGUUGGCGGGGACACCUUCUCUCUGCGGCCGGUAGGGCAGUUCUUGUCAACUCUGUAAUUCGAGCUCUUCCCACCUAUGCUAUGAGCGUUAUGCUGCUUCAUGUUGGUUCUAUUCUGGAGAUAGACAAGCGGUGUCCUGCUUUCUUUUGGGCUGGCGAUGACCACGUGAAUGGGGGUCAAUGCAAAGUUGCUUGGUCAGAUGUCUGUGCCCCCACUAAGAAGGGCGGCCUGGGCUUUAGAUGCCAUCGUACUCAUAAUAUUUGCCUGCUUCUAAAAUCCCUCGGUAAAAUACACGAACCCGGUCUUGGAUCUUGGGACUCUUGGCUUGCCUCCACGUAUGGCUGGGACGGCGGGCACUACAUUGGUGACACUCAUAGACUACACACAAUAGUUUGGAAGGACCUCCUGUCUGGUCUCCCUUUCUUCCGCUCUAUUACCCACGUCAAGAUCGGUAACAGUGUCUCAACCGCGCUUUGGUUGGAUCUAUGGAUCGGCAACGAUACCUUGGCUACUCGCUUCCCAAGUCUUUUCUCCCAUGUUACAAAACCUAAUCCACGUCUGACCAUCGCUGCUACUAACGAGCUUCUUUGCCUGCGUACUGUUUUAGCCACAGUUAACUUGAUGUCGCAGGUUAUUUAUCUGGUGGCGCAUCGAGGAAGACUGUUUACCAACGAGCGUCGCUUCCGGAGGGACCUAACGGACUACGACACCUGCCCUUUCUGUUCGGAAACGGAGUCUACCUCCCACAUGCUAAUUCACUGCCAUGUUGCCGCUCAAGCUUGGAUGAUUGUGGACUCGCUAAACAUCAACCCUUCAGAUUGUUCUUCCAUCCAAGACCUGCAAGGGCGUUCACCUUCUUGCAAAUUUCGCAAUACGGUUAUUAUGUCCAUCCUCUGGAGCCUGUGGAAUAGAAGGAACGCUAAAGUUUUCAAGGAAGAAGUUGAGUCUUUGGGCUGCGUUCUUCGGGGGGGCAUCGCAAGACCUCUUUCUUUGGGCCCAUCGAUGUGGAAAGGAGAAUCGCAAACAAAUUCUGAUCGACUGGGGAAUCAUGUUGUCCCGGCUAGAUGUAGCAUAGUAGUUUUUAUUUGA